AGAACGAACGCUGGCGGCGUGGAUAAGACAUGCAAGUCGAACGCGAUUUAUCCGGUUAGCAAUAACUGGGUAGAUUGAGUGGCGAAAGGGUGCGUAACACGUGGGAAUUUACCAAGAAGUGGGGAAUAGCUCGGCGAAAGCCGAAUUAAUACCGCAUAUGAUCGCAAGAUCAAAGUCGGGGACCGCAAGGCCUGACGCUUUUUGAGAAGCCCGCGGCCCAUCAGCUAGUUGGUGAGGUAAUGGCUCACCAAGGCUAUGACGGGUAGCUGGUCUGAGAGGACGACCAGCCACACUGGAACUGAGACACGGUCCAGACACCUACGGGUGGCAGCAGUCGAGAAUUUUUUCACAA
rnacentral:rRNA from 1 species